UGCGCAGGCGGUUAUAUUAAGACAGAGGUGAAAUACCCCCGGGCCUCAACCUGGGAACGUGCCUUUGUGACUGUAUAGCUUGAGUGCGGCAGAGGGGGAGUGGAAUUCCGCGUGUAGCAGUGAAAUGCGUAGAUAUGCGGAGGAACACCGAUGGCGAAGGCAAUCCCCUGGGCCUGCACUGACGCUCAUGCACGAAAGCGUGGGGAGCAAACAGGAUUAGAUACCCGAGU
rnacentral:rRNA from 1 species